ACCGUCACACCUUCCUCUGAUAUGAUAUGCCCAAGAUAUUUCACCUUUUGUUGAAGAAAGUAAAAAUUCGUAGUGGCCGUUGUGUGUUCGAAAGGCGAUUUUCGGUAUGACUUCUUCAUACACUCGUAUUUGAUAAUACCCGGAUCGAAGAUCCAGCUUUGUGAAGAUUUGCGCUCUCUUUCAUCUAGCAAUUCAUCUGCUAUUUGAAUAAGGUAUUUGUUCUUGAUGGUUAUGCCAUUGAGAGCUCGGUAAUCAACGCAUAUUCGCCAUGUUCCGUCCUUCUUGUGUACAAGUAGCACUAGUGAAAAGUAGAGGUUGCAACUUGGCCGAAUAACUCCUGUUUCAAGCAUCUCUUUUAAAAUCCUUUCUAUUUCAUCAUUCUAGAGAUGUGGAUACUGAUAUGGCUGAGCAUUUGCUGGAGAUUUGACUGGAAAAAUCAUUAUACAAUGAUCAUACCGACGAGUAAGAGGUAGGUUGUGCGGCUCGUCAAAUAUAUCUGAAAAUUCAGCAAGCAAAGGAAAUAGGUUUGGAUCUUCAAAUUCUAUUGGCUCUCCUUUAAUUUGCUGCUCAAGUUGUACCAAAAAGCCCCUGCAUGCUUUAUGCAAAACCUUCUCCAUUUGUUGUGUGCAAAUCAUCGUUACGCCGCCC
rnacentral:lncRNA from 1 species